GAUGAACGCUGGCGGCGUGCCUAAUACAUGCAAGUCGAGCGAACGGACGAUAAGCUUGCUUCUCUGAUGUUAGCGGCGGACGGGUGAGUAACACGUGGAUAACCUACCUAUAAGACUUGGAUAACUUCGGGAAACCGGAGCUAAUACCGGAGAAUAUUUUGAACCGCAUGGUUCAAAAGUGAAAGACGGUCUUGCUGUCACUUAUAGACGGAUCCGCGCUGCAUUAGCUAGUUGGUAAGGUAACGGCUUACCAAGGCAACGAUGCAUAGCCGACCUGAGAGGGUGAUCGGCCACACUGGAACUGAGACACGGUCCAGACUCCUACGGGAGGCAGCAGUAGGGAAUCUUCCGCAAUGGGCGAAAGCCUGACGGAGCAACGCCGCGUGAGUGAUGAAGGUCUUCGGAUCGUAAAACUCUGUUAUUAGGGAAGAACAUAUGUGGAAGUAACUGUGCACAUCUUGACGGUACCUAAUCAGAAAGCCACGGCUAACUACGUG
rnacentral:rRNA from 1 species